GAACGUUGGUAACUACCAAUGAACCUUGGCCAAGCCCCCAUGUGGCAAGAAAAGCCGUUUCUCCUGUGAUUCCAUUUUCUGACUAGAAAGUAACGCUAAACUGUAAGAUUUAACACCCCUGAGGCAUCAAAGCCUCCAGGCUGUUAAGGAGCAGGCAGCAGAGGCCUCCUAGGGUCAGGGGCAAUGAAGGGCGGAGGCCCUGCACCAGCUUCCACCUUUCUGCGGCCGCCAGCCCUCACCCUCGCAGCCCACUGAGCAAGACGCGUCAGGGAGGAGUACAAGCCAAGCUUCCUCUCGCCGCCAAGCCAGGAGGACCCUUGCGGCUAAAUGAGACAAGCUAUUAUCUAGCAGCUCAAAUUGAGCAACCCCAGGGAGGAGGCAAGCACAGGCGGAGACCACAAGCAAAACAAGGGCAAGAAACCCGAUGGAAAGAUUGAGGCAUACAAAAGUUACGCAGCUUGGCCCAAGUCGCAUGGAUAGGAAGUGGCAGAACUAUGAUUCAGAGCCAGGGACGUACUUUUAACUACUAUUGCUAUGAAAUUAAAGAAAUCAGAGAAAUUGAAAAGCAAAAAUGUUCCAACAUACACAAAAGCAGAGAAAAUGGUAUAAAGAGCCCCAUGUACCCAUCAGCCAACUUGAACAAUUAUCACUAUUUUGCUAUUCUUGCCUCAUGGAUUUCUUUCAAAAUAGAAAUUGUUAAGGCUCCACUCCAGGAGGGUCUGGAAUGUAUCUUUCAAGGAGCUGCCAGGUUGGAAUAGCCUAAACUCCGGUCCUGGGCCUGGGGCCACACCUGCCUAAGGAAGAUACUUCCUCAGUGGCCUGAAUCCACAUGCUACUAAAACAGAUCCCUCAACAUUGGCUACUCAAGCAAGGGAUUUCUCUCCUCCUGCACCAAAAGAAUCCACAUGGUGACUCUUUCAACAGUUGAUGCCAGGGUGGCUCACAUACAAGAGAAUCCAACUUUAGCAAAGCAGGAAAGCACAAGUCUCUGGAACCACAGCUUUCAGGGAAGUGGGCUGUGGCUGGUGUGGAGAUGAUUCAGACUUCCACUGGGGUCAGAAGAGCAGGGGUGUAGCCAGAUUACUACUUUAGAGAGGAGUCUGUGCUCACCAUUUUGUUUGCUGUAGAUAUGUUCUAUCCCUGUCUAGAAAGCAAGCUUGUUCUUCAGCGAACGUGUAGCCAAAUCUAGUUAUGCCCAGCUUCCAGGGAGGAAUACAUCGGAAAAACAAAUUCACAGAGAAGUUGUCACGGAUAUUUAGGGGGUUGAGGUCCUAGAAUGUUUUGUCUUCAUUUCUAAGUGCCCAAGUGUUUAAAAAUAAAUAUUAUUCUCCGUUUCAACUUAUUUACAUUUGAGACCAAGAGAAUCAUUUAAAUGGUUUGUCCUCUUGGUUGUCAAAGAAAAUGUCUUGCCCAUCUAAAAAAGGGGCUUUUGGGGCACCUGGGUGGCUCAGUCGGUUAAGCAUCCAACUUCAGCUCAGGUCAUGAUCUCAUGGUUCAUGAGUUUGAGUCCUGCAUAGGGCUCUGCACUGAUGCUAUGGAACCUGCUUGGGAUUCUCUCUCUCUCUGCCCCUUCCCUGUGUUCUCUCUCUCUCUCUCUCUCUCU